rnacentral:rRNA from 1 species
GAUGAACGCUAGCGGCAGGCUUAAUACAUGCAAGUCGUGGGGCAGCGCAGGUAGCAAUACUGGGCGGCGACCGGCAAACGGGUGCGGAACACGUACACAACCUUCCGAGAAGUGGGGAAUAGCCCAGAGAAAUUUGGAUUAAUACCCCGUAACAUAACGAUGCGGCAUCACAUUGUUAUUAUAGCUUCGGCGCUUCCUGAUGGGUGUGCGGCUGAUUAGAUAGUUGGCGGGGUAACGGCCCACCAAGUCUACGAUCAGUAGCUGAUGUGAGAGCAUGAUCAGCCACACGGGCACUGAGACACGGGCCCGACUCCUACGGGAGGCAGCAGUAAGGAAUAUUGGUCAAUGGACGCAAGUCUGAACCAGCCAUGCCGCGUGAAGGAUUAAGGUCCUCUGGAUUGUAAACUUCUUUUAUCUGGGACGAAAAAAGGCGAUUCUUCGUCACUUGACGGUACCAGAUGAAUAAGCACCGGCUAACUCCGUGCCAGCCGCCGCCGUAAUAC